AUGCUGGAGGAUGAGCUGGCCUCCACACAAAGCAAGCUCACCCUCACCCAGAAGCGCUGGCUGCCCGACCACACCUACAUCUGCCAGGUCACCUAUCAAGGUAACACCUUUGAGGACAGUGCCAAGAAGCGUGCAGAUUCUAACCCGCAGGGGGUGAGCACCUACCUGAGCCGGUCCAGCCCCUUCUACCUGUUCAUCCGCAAGUUGCCCACAAUCACCUGUCUGGUGGUGGACCUGGCACCCAGCAGGGAGAACGUGAAGCUGACUUGGUCCCAGGCCAGUGGGAAGUCUGUGGCUCAGGUCAUCCUAAGGCAAGAGAAGCAGUGCAAUGGCACGUUCACCAUCACGUCCACCCUGCUGGUGGGCACCAGAGACUGGAUCAAGGGGGAGACCUACCAGUGCAGGGUGACCCACACCCACCUGCAGUCCACGACCAAGAUCAGCGGCCCAUGUGCUCCCCCACAGGUCUACGUGUUUGCAACGCUAGAAGAGCCGAGGAACCAGGACAAGUGCACCCUCACCUGCCUGAUCCAGAACUUCUGGCCCAAGGACAUCUUGGUGCAGUGGCUGUACAACGAGGUGCAGCUCCCGGACACUUGGCACAGCAUGACGCAGCCCCACAAAACCAAGGGCUCUGGCUUCUUAGUCUUCAGCUGCCUGGAGGUUACCAGGGCUGAAUGGGAACAGAAAAACGAGUUCAUCUGCUCUGUGGUCCAUAAGACAGCGACUGGCUCACAGACCGUCAAGUAA